rnacentral:rRNA from 1 species
AGAGUUUGAUCAUGGCUCAGGAUGAACGCUAGCGGCAGGCUUAACACAUGCAAGUCGAGGGGCAGCAUGACGGUAGUUUACUACUGUUGAUGGCGACCGGCGCACGGGUGCGUAACGCGUAUACAACUUGCCCAUAACAGGGGAAUAACCUUGAGAAAUCGAGACUAAUACCCCAUAUGUAAUUAGGAGGCAUCUCUUUAUUAUGAAAGAUUUAUCGGUUAUGGAUAGGUAUGCGUGACAUUAGCUAGAAGGUAAGGUAACGGCUUACCAUGGCGACGAUGUCUAGGGGUUCUGAGAGGAAGGUCCCCCACACUGGUACUGAGACACGGACCAGACUUCCUACGGGAGGCAGCAGUGAGGAAUAUUUGGUCAAUGGGCGCCAAGCCUGAACCAGCCAUGCCGCCGUGCAGGAUGGACGGCUUCUUNUGAGUUUGUAAACUGCUUUUUGGUACGAGGGGUAAUAGCAUCCUACGUGUAGGUGUUUGAAAGUAUCGUACGAAUAAGGAUCGGCUAACUCCGUGCCAGCAGCCGCGGUAAUACGGAGGAUUCAAGCGUUAUCCGGAUUUAUUGGGUUUAAAGGGUGCGUAGGUGGUUUGAUAAGUUAGUCGUUAAAUCGCGGGGCUUAACCUCGCAAUGGCGAUUGAUACUGUUGAACUAGAGAGCAGUUGCGGUAGGCGGAAUGAGUAGUGUAGCGGUGAAAUGCUUAGAUAUUACUCAGAACACCAAUUGCGAAGGCAGCUUACCAAGCUGUUUCUGACACUGAGGCACGAAAGCGUGGGGAUCAAACAGGAUUAGAUACCCUGGUAGUCCACGCCGUAAACGAUGCUAACUCGUUGCUGGCGAUACACCGUUCAGUGACUAAGGGAAACCGAUAAGUUAGCCACCUGGGGAGUACGACCGCAAGGUUGAAACUCAAAGGAAUUGACGGGGGCCCGCACAAGCGGAGGAACAUGUGGUUUAAUUCGAUGAUACGCGAGGAACCUUACCCAGGCUUGAAAGUUAGUGACCGCUGCCGAAAGGUGGCUUCUCUUCGGAGCACGAAACUAGGUGCUGCAUGGUUGUCGUCAGCUCGUGCCGUGAGGUGUCGGGUUAAGUCCCAUAACGAGCGCAACCCCUGUCGUUAGUUGCUAACAGGUAAUGCUGAGGACUCUAACGAGACUGCCCGGUGUAAACCGCGAGGAAGNNGGGGAUGACGUCAAAUCAGCACGGCCCUUACGUCUGGGGCGACACACGUGUUACAAUGGAUGGUACAAAGAGUUGCAACAUAGCGAUAUGAAGCUAAUCUCAAAAAGCCAUUCUCAGUUCGGAUUGCAGGCUGAAACUCGCCUGCAUGAAGUUGGAUUCGCUAGUAAUCGCAUAUCAGCCAUGAUGCGGUGAAUACGUUCCCGAGCCUUGUACACACCGCCCGUCAAGCCAUGGAAGUUUGGGGUGCCUGAAGUACGUGGCCGUAAAAGGAGCGUCCUAGGGCAAAACAGAUAACUAGGGCUAAGUCGUAACAAGGUAACCGUA